CCAGACCACCAGCUAAGGUCCCAAAAUAUAUGUUAAGUGGAAAAGGAUGUGGCGUUGCCCAGACAACUAGGAUGUUGGCUUAGAAGCAGCCAUCAUUUAAAGAGUGCGUAAUAGCUCACUAGUCGAGUGACACUGCGCCGAAAAUGUACCGGGGCUAAACAUAUUACCGAAGCUGUGGAUUGUCCUUUGGACAAUGGUAGGAGAGCGUUCUAAGGGCGUUGAAGCAUGAUCGUAAGGACAUGUGGAGCGCUUAGAAGUGAGAAUGCCGGUGUGAGUAGCGAAAGACGGGUGAGAAUCCCGUCCACCGAUUGACUAAGGUUUCCAGAGGAAGGCUCGUCCGCUCUGGGUUAGUCGGGUCCUAAGCUGAGGCCGACAGGCGUAGGCGAUGGAUAACAGGUUGAUAUUCCUGUACCACCUAUAAUCGUUUUAAUCGAUGGGGGGACGCAGUAGGAUAGGCGAAGCGUGCGAUUGGAUUGCACGUCUAAGCAGUAAGGCUGAGUAUUAGGCAAAUCCGGUACUCGUUAAGGCUGAGC
rnacentral:rRNA from 1 species